UCACGUGCUGCCCGUCAGCGCCUUCCCGCCCCCUGCGAUGGCCACGCCCCCUGGUCCGCUGAGCGGCGGACGCUGAUUGGCUGGAGGGGCAUCCCCUCCUCCCUCGGGGCGAUGAGGGGCUGACGGAAAGUUUCCCUCUUUCGCCCCUCUCUUGCCUUUUUCUUGUUUUUUUUUUCUUCUUAAAGCAAGCUGUAUCAACGUUUAUCGUCAGCAGUAGAGCCUGCAAAUAAAAGUGCUAAUCUGCCUCAACAUCUUGUGCAGUGCGAAUGUUGGGAAACCAAGGGAAACAUCCAGAGCUGUUUCUAAUAAAGGGGAGCCAAGCCAGAGCUCCAGAGCACAUUUUAGCGUGACACCAUCGGGGUGAAAGGAGAGGUGGUGUUACGCUGCCAAGAGACCAGAACAACAUUGAAAUCUUAAGAUGAGCCACCUGUCGUGAGUUCUGGAAGGCUCUGGAGGACUACUGAUAGUUCAUGAUUUGGGUGGAGAUGUUUCUCCCCAAGCUGUUAUGCGAUGUGUGGGAUGGCUCGUGCAUCGCCUUCCUGCAAAUGAGUCUUCCAGGGAAAGGCUGCAAAGAAAACAGCAGAGAAAAUGAAUGGGAGUUGGACUAGAUGGCCCUUUAAAGAUCUGUUCCAAUUCAAAGGAUUCUCUGAUCUUGCUGGCUGUGGAUUUCAGUGGCUUUUGAACUCAACUCUGGAAAGUGACAAAGGUAGAGAAACCACACUCACAGGUAGUGACCUUUCAGCCUGCACAUGCUUUUUUUUGAAGUGCCAGUGUGACUUAGCCCAUUUACUUUUGUAAUAUGAAUAAAAUUGCUGGCUUUUAAAUGCCAAGAAAGGGUUUACACAGCCAUUAUUAAAAUACAGUGUUUCUGCUAUGACUUUGAAUUAGAAGCAUGUAAAACAGAACAGCAUAAAUAGAGACUGUCACGUGCUGCAAACUUAGAAGGUGGGAGCUUCCUGUGAUUGCCUCCCAUCCAUCCCAGACAUGCCACAGAAGGUCUCAUGUCCUGGGAUAAAGGAUAUCCUAUGGCAUCCUGCUGGACAUCAUUGACUUGGUUGUCUGUUGUGAUUUCACCAGACAUCAGACAUUAUUUGAGCACAGAUUUUCUCUUUUUGGAAUUCUUGCAGGUUAUGGCACUAAGUCUAUCUUCAGCAGUUUGUACAGUGUUUUGUUUUAGUGAGGCUUAACAUGAAGUGUCAUGCUGGCUGCAGCCUGCAUUUCAUGAGGACAGCACACUAAACUUCUGUUCUUUUUAGAUUGAAAACAAAGAGGACAUAUGUUAAAUGUGAUUGAUAGAGAACAGUAUGUAUACAUGUGGAAAAUAGGGAGAAAAUAAAAUGGAUAAAUAAAAAUAGAAGACUGCUGUCAGGGCAAGAAUUACUGCUACAGCUUGUCUCCAGAAGUGAAUGAAAAUAUGUCUGUCCUGUAAUCCUGGGGCUGGUAGGAAUCCAAGUGAGUGAUAAAUGUGGUUUGUCUGUUUUUUCUUACAGUCAGCAUCUCGGGACUUUGUUGAGGAAUACGGUCAGCAGGACCACAGCAGUUGGGGUUGUUGUUGUUGGAUUUGAAAUACAAGACUCAUCAGUGUAUUCAUUUCUCAUUGCACUGUUAUAUACUUAGUGGUUAGUAAAGCAUUUACCUCUGCUUUGAAUGUCAGGAUGCAACCACUGCAUUACUGGAAAUAAAUGUAAAGUACUUGGCAAAAAUGGGUAAAACUUAAGGGUCUGCAGAUGUCUGUUUUAGGGAAGCACAUCUGAAAUGUAGUAAAUGCCCAGAAAUGUCAGCAGAUCACCCUGCAUCAGUAGUGCUGAGCAUGAUGUAAUGAUGGGGCUUCUGAAGAGGUGCCAGGGGGAGUGUCCCACAGUUUGGGGUGGUGGCAAUGAAUGGAAGUAAAAAUAGCAGAUUAACUGAAAGGAAGAUGUAUUUGGUUCAAUUUGCAAACAUUUGUGUUCAUUUCCAAAGUGUCAUUUCAUCUGUGUGGCAAGUGUACAUGAAGUGUAAAGACAUGGUUGAUGUUUUAACAAGGAAAAUACGCCAUCCAAAGCUUAUUUGGAUAUUUCAUACCAUUACGUAAGGGUGCAAGAUAAGAAGUGAGAUGGGGGAGAGGUGAGAUGGGGCAGAAGGACAAAACCCUUCUCCUGGGCAGCUGAGACCCACCUGCUGUGCUGGGCAGGCUCUCAGAGAACACCAGGCAUCCCAUGAGAGAUGUAGGUUACAAAAGAAAAUGUGAUACCAAACAUCUUUUUGGUUUGUGGUUAACAUUAUGAACAAGAUUAUUCCUUUACUGUUUUACUGUUCAUCACCUAGACCUCCUCAAGUGUAUCCAACUUGUACCAACUGGAGAAACAGGGCUGAAGGACACACUCUUUCUUUUAAGUGACCUCCUCAAUACUGGAUGAAGGAUUUCACCACAGUUUUGCUGGUAGAGCGUCCUGUCCUGACAGAUACAAACAAUGUAAUUGUUGCUGGACUGCAGGAUCAUUAUGACUAAAAUUCAAAACGUGUCCUAGUUGCGUUCUCCUCCUUUUGUGAUAAUGUUUUCCACCUGGUGUAACUCCAACCAGUUGUCCCCCACCCACUAUGUUGUACAUUCAGCCACUGUACUUUUUUGUCAGAUAGAUGUUCUUUGGCACAGGAUCAGCUUUCUGAUGCCUGAUGUGAGCAGGCCUUUGCCACCCUGUGGGAUCCCAAACGCUGCCUGUCUCCAGAGCACAAGUUGUUGUGCCCUGACUGCUGGUCAGGUCAGGUCCUUUGGUCUUGAAGCACAUGCUGUGCUCUGGUUCAGUCUCUUGUGGGGACACUGGGGACACAGUGGUGCAGCCAUGCUGCAGAGCAGACCUGCUGUGAGCAAGCCAGACAGCAGCAGAGAGAACUUAUCCUGUGCCCUCUGGAUACAGCUUACUGAAAGUUUGAAUGUAGUUUAGUAAGAGGUCUGCUUGCUGUAGACAGGUCUCAAUGCAGAAGCCAAAUAAACAGAAACAUAACGAAUGACUUAUUUUCAAAUAAGAAGUUGAAGAAUUGUCCUUUUAGAAUUUUCUUCUUUAACCUGCAGAAGAACAAAAAUGACUUUUCUCUCACCUUCAGACAUGUGCAUAUGAUUUGAAGUCCUUGCAAGAAAUAGGAGCUGUUAAUCUGCAUCCCAGUACUGAGUUUUGAAGCCAUAUCCUUCCACAGCAUUUUCUCCACUGCUCAUGAAAAGUAAUUUGUCAGGAAAUAUAUUGUCCUAUUUUGUUUAUUUUCACCUUUGGCACAGGACUUUGAAGUAAAAAUAAUUAUUUUCCAGACAGUUUAAUUGAUUUGAAAAUUUCCUACAGUUAACUUAGUUCCUCUGCAGUUGUCUAUGUAUAGGUUUCAGAAUUAUUUAGAGAAUAAAAGAAGAAAAUGUGUUGACAGUUCCUUAGCCAUCUGCAGACAUAUCUGCAGUACAUAUCUGUAUAUUUUAGGUUUUUGUUUCUCACAAUAACUGAAGAAAAAUCUGAAUCCCCUUGCUAAAGUGAAGAUGUUCAUUAUGCUCCCUCAAAGCAUGUGGGAUCACUGUAGGUCUGUGGACUCUUCAAACACUAAGUUAACCUACUUGCUAAUUGAUUUGUUAAAUUCAUCCCCAUUUAGCAAAGAAGCAUUAGAAUGCUGCUUUUCCUGAAAUCUCAUCUUAAGCUCAGGCAAAACUGGGUCUCUCCUCAUACUUUGCUAAUUCCACCUCUCCCAACUUGGAUGGCCUUGUUUUGCAGAUUUGAGCAGCUCACGCAGAGAGCUCAGUGCAGGAGCAAAGGUCGCUUCCCCUGGCACAGUCUCUUUGUGAUGCUGGAAAUACAGGCUGGAGAUCAGUAAGCUGACCGUGUCUGCACAGCCCUGACACAGCUCUCAGAAUUGCUGCUCUUUCCAAUGAGCUUCCUGUGCACUUCCUUGUGGCCUCUCUCCAGGCUGCAUUUUCUUUUUCUUCUUUUAGUGCUUCUCUGCCAUUCCCUGCUGAGACCAUCAGCACCCAGGCUCUGCGCAGAUCGCCAAAGCCAUCUUGCAUAUAUGAGAUCAUCAACACCAGCAAUCAGUUGUGUAUUACGUAUUUUCAUCCACAGGUAACCUUAAAAUUUCCUUCUGUGCAGUAACUUUAUAAACAAGAUUUUACUCUGGUUUAGUGACAAUAAUGACUUUAACCAAAAAUAAUCACUUGAAACUUACACCUGUUUUAACAUUUCUCAUUUCUGCCUGAAGUAGCUCAACCUGAUUUCAAAGGUGCUCAUUUUAGCUCACAGCAUUCACUGCAGGGUCAAAUGUCUGGCAUUCAGAGAUACUCAGUCCUGCAAACAUUUUUUUCUGCCUUCCUCUGAUAUAUCUGAGUUACAGCAUGUAGGCUACACUUCAAGUCAGAGCUGUGCUGGGCAGUGGUGCUCUGAGCUGCACACUGUGCUGUGUGGAGGUUGGUGGUAGAGGCAGAAUUUAGCCAAGAUUGGUUGGCUUUAUCCCUCUGAGUGUGUUCCAGCAGUACUGUGUCUGCCUGUCAGUAUAUAAUCAUACUGAGCUAUUAUCCAGAAACUGUAGAUUGGCAGAAG